rnacentral:rRNA from 1 species
UACGUAGGGGGCUAGCGUUGUCCGGAAUCAUUGGGCGUAAAGAGCGUGUAGGCGGCCCGGUAAGUCCGCUGUGAAAGUCGGGGGCUCAACCCUCGAAUGCCGGUGGAUACUGUCGGGCUAGAGUGCGGAAGAGGCGAGUGGAAUUCCUGGUGUAGCGGUGAAAUGCGCAGAUAUCAGGAGGAACACCAAUUGCGAAGGCAGCUCGCUGGGACGUUACUGACGCUGAGACGCGAAAAGCGUGGGGAGCAAACAGG